GGUCUACUGAGAGAGAAAAACUUCAUGAGCAGUGACACUCAAAACAAAAUGGUGCCAGAGUCCCAAUAACCCUGUGCUCACAGCUGCUUAUAAAGCCAUUUAGGGAAUUUCUAGGGGUGUGGGUUACAAAGGCCAAUGCACACUAGAGUUCCUUAUUACAUAGAAGGGUUUUACAGAACGGGGCCAGGUAUCCACUGAUUAGUCUGCUCUGAUUCGCUAUCUCUACUGGACCAAAAGCAGCUCAUCUCCAGGUGUGCCUUACCUGCAGUUUUGUAGAGAGCAUUCCAUGUUCUCAGAAAGCCCCCACAGUGGUUUGCUUUUGGUCUUCUUCACAGUCCCUGUGAUUUCCUGGAAGGUGGUGGCUCCUGGCAACACCUAAAGCAGGAGGCCAUUUCAUUUUAUCACAUCUAAUAUCCCACCCAGUUUAAGGAUACCUAACAGGGUUAACCAUGAGGAUUGUUAAAGGAAAACUGCACGGGCCUUGUUCAACCGGCAAGUAUGACUUUAUUCAUAGUUACUACGGUAGGGAAGAGAAAAUAAAACGCAACUCCGAGAUAGGGGUGGGGUGGGGAGUGAGCUUUGAGUUUCAGAGUCAGGGCAAGGGCAGUGGAAAAGUACCAGUAAAUCAUCCGCCAAAAGAGCGGAAGGAGAAGGGGCAGGUUGGUAAGUAGUAUCGGAAGUUGUCCUUUUUAACUUUUUUUUUUCUUUUCCCCACCCCUCUGCAGUCUGAGUUGUUUUGCGCUUCAGUCCUAAAUCUACAAGGUUAGAUUCUAGGUCGCCGAGGCGGGGAGGGAGCGGGCAGAGGCGCUUGAGGAGGAAGCCCCGCAACUGGGACAAGACAAAGAAAUAAUAACCUACCCUUGGGCAGAACAAAGGAAGGAGCCGUUCUGCAGUGGGGAGGACGCUGUCCUAUCCGCGGAGGAGAAGAGCACAGGACAGACGGGGCUGGCGUCGCGGUCGCCCUGGGGCUCGAGUUCAAGUCUGAACGGGAAGCGCUGCGGCAGCGCGGGUGGGGCUGAGGCCCGGGGCGCGCGCAGGCCCCCCGCUCCCCGCUCCCCGGACUCCCGCCCGCUCCGCGCCCCGCGGCCGCGCCCGCCCGCCUGCGCCCCGCCCUGCGGCGCUGGGGCCCGCGGUCACUCGGGGUCCGGGUUUCGCCACCAGAAAGUUCUUCCUGGCAGGCGUCGGAGUCAGUACCGCAAAGGAGCAUUGAUACGUCAGCCUGCUUCAGUUAACCUCUUGUUUUAAUGAAUGAAAUGGAAGCUCAAGCAAAUCGAGAUGAUGUGGCUGCUGUUACAACUAAGCUUCUGAAGGCCAUGGUUUGGGGAUAUCUGACAAGACCAAAAACAUACCUGGAACAGCUCCAUUGGGACUUAUGAAUAGGAAAGGGUCUCUGAAGGUGGAGGUUUGGAGAAUGAAGACAGUGCUCCAUGACGAUCAGGAAAAUAGGUGCAAAAUAGAGAGUCUCCACACAAGUACAUUUUGUAAGAGUUUUUGUUGGGGUCACGUGAAACACAUAAAUGAGGUCUGAUGAUGUUAUUGUAGGAAGGAAAUAUACAGCCUUGAGAAAAUUACUCUAUGACACCAUCUGUCCGUUGUUUUCCUUUGGGGAUGUCUGUUACAUUUUCACUUGUGUCCUGGAGCAUGAUUUCUGGGAGCUGAAUUUCCCUUAGGGAGGGAGAGGCAGGUCAGGGGUCCAAGGGACCUCCACCGUCCACUCCUGUGCAGCAGCCCAUGUUGGCCAUAGGACACACCCUGCAUCCACCUUUCACAGUAACAGUACAGCAUACAACAGAAUAGCAAGAGUCCUCCGUCAAAAGCUAGUCAACCUAUAAAGACAUGUGGCCAGAGCCAAGAGAGGGAGUUAAACCAGAAUUAACAGGGGGUUAAUAGCUAAUUUAUCAAUAUGACUGAUGUGCUCUUACGUAUGAUUUGAAACUUCAGGGACAUUGAGAGUGAUGAGGAAUAUUCACACAAUAUUGAGAGGGUAUUGUUCCAUACUUUUUGAUGAGUUGUAUUCUGCCAUGCCAGCACGGUGUUCCGUAUUGUCCAAUUUGCAGGAGUUAAGGUGCAAGGCAUAUUGUGCUGAUCUAACAGUAUACAAGCAACAUUUCCAUUAGCAGAUAAAGUACCAGGUAGGGGAGUCUUAUGAGGAUGCCUUUAAUACCAUACAUUUCCUCCCUUUAAAUUCUUUGAGUUUUCUAUGGUAAAAUAAAAGACUAAUUUAGGCAUAAGGUUAGCCCACAUAGACACACAUAGGGCCUCACCUAUUUGCUGUCCUGAUUGGUUGCCUUUCUCUACCUUUACUUGUCAGCUUUUCGGGAACCAGUGGGGAGGCCUUUCUGUUUGGAGUUAUUACAGACUUUUGAGCCUGGGACUUUCAAACGGGACCUUACGACUAGGGUCUUUGUUGGGCUUUAUUUUGACCAGCUGCUUUCCCUGUUUCCUAUACUAACCUGCCUCAGCAUUCCGCUCAGAGAAUUCAUAUCCUUAUUCUUAAGGGGGAGCUGAAGGGUGACUGUCAUUUUUCUAUAGCUGCUUCCUGCUGGUUAGGGGCAGUAUUCCCUGCCUGUUGGGAUGUGAAAUUCUCUGGCUAUUCUGUUGAGGUGAGAGA
rnacentral:lncRNA from 1 species